AUUACCCCGCUGAUUGUUGAGGAGGUUCUGGCUUUGAGACUGCUGCACACUCAUCAUGCUCUGAAUUUGGCCGCCCAUGUUGUUGCGCUGGUUGCUGAGGAGACUCUGGCCCUGGGACUGCUGCACUCCUAUCAUACCUUGAUAAACCACCUGCCUGAACUGCCCCAAGACAUGUUGAUGCCCAAGGCAUGAAAAUGCAAGCAACAGUUUCCUUCAUUUAUCCAUGCUGGGUACAAUUCACACUAAAUGUCUCCUGAGUAAAUCAGAUUAAAAGGACCAGGAGUUGUGCAAGAAGAAGUCUUCUGCAGCUCUUGCUCAUUUCAAUGAGGCAGAGAAAGACUUGCCAAGGGAUUGUGACUCAUCCCAGCGAUCUGUCCCCGUUUUCCAUCUGCUGUCUUCAGUGUUGCUCUAAGUCUACAUGCCUUUAGGUAGGACCCUUUGGGAAUCUGACUAUGAAUAUAUUUCAGCCUAACAAAGGAGGUGGAAAUGUGAGUCUGAAAUAACAUUAUCUUUCUGAUGUGUUGAACACAUCUAUAGGACUGCUGGAGGGGGAGAUUACAAAGAAAGAAACUUAGUGAGAUGAGGCAAAAUCAUCUAUAUACCAAAUCUCCAGAGAUCGCUCCAGAAAUCAGUAUGCUGUAAGCAAAGAACAAGAGGACUCAAGGUGAAUCAUGGAAAGAUGCCUGCAAGACAGCAUUAUUGGACAAUUUUGGAUCCUUUAAACUGGGAGACUGCAGUUCUCACAAUAAGCAGCUAGGAUUGAUGGGAGCUGUUAUCCAAUAAUAUUGGGAAACCUAGCCUUUCCAUACUCCGGCCUAUACAAGUAAAGUGUGGUGGGAAGUAACACAUAUCAUAUGUGCAAAGACUAUGCCUAACUUGGAAGGCUUUCUCACCCCUCAACCUGUACUUAGGAAUAUCACGAGGGUGAAAAAUAAACUAUGCAAACUGAGGAACAAUGCAACCUAGGGCAGAAAUCAAGAUUAACAAAUCAUUGGACAUCAGAGCCAUAUUGCGAAGCUCACAGUCUCCAUCUCCUGUUGUAAGUAUUUUAAACAAACUGUUGCCAAUAUAAGGAGCAAACCAAGCAUCACAGUCUCCUUAAAGACUUAAAAGUCACUAACCUUGCACUAUUGGAUCAAGCAGACUAAGUCAAUGAGUGCCACCUGGUGGUUGUUAAGGUCAUGUAUUGCAGAAACUCCCUUUGAUGUGUACCAACCUGCUAUUCUGUCCAAAAAUUCCACUUUCAACAAGUCUCCUACCAAAACACAUUUUAGGAGCAGUUAACAAGUAUUCUAAUGCGGUCAUAAAAGCGGACAGUGCGUAGUAUAAAAGUCCUGUGUGAAUUAACAGUUCAAAGCAUGCUGCUAGCAGUUCUGAGGGCCUCCUCACACUAUUUUUAAGACCAUGUUUGUGAAAUUGUUUCAGUAAGUGAGCACCUAAAUAUAUGCAUUAUAGAUAA